CUUCAGUGAUGAGACGAUGACGAGUCGGAACUGGUCUCCGUCUGGUUCUGAUGGUUCCCGGUUCAGAGUCACGUUCUGUGGUUCUGCUCCGGCUCAUCAGAGCAGCGAGUCCUUUUCGCUUGAAGACAUCGAGGCAUUUGUCUGAGAAGG